AUGCGCUGUCGCCUGGGCCCAUUCCAGGCUGGUGGAAUCAGAAUCUCUGGGUGAGGGGCCCUGGCUCUGGUAUUUUUUAUAAGCUCCCCAGUGGCUUCUGAUGCAUGGCGAGGGCUCAAAGCCCCAGCCUGGGGGAUGUCUGCAGUCCUUUCCAGUUCUCUGAUUCUGUGACCCACCUAUCUAGAAGGCUGCAGCCUGUAGCCCAUUGGGAUGCAGCACAGAUGAGUUGUGUGAGUCAUACCGCAUAUGCCCUGAACACAAUGCACUCACCUUGGUCAACAUUCUGAGAGUCAUUAUCCCAGACCCCCUCAACCUCUACAAAAUUGCCCUCUGGUGCCCCUAGUCAGAGUCAGAAUCCUGACUUAUAGGGCCACUCCGGUGUUUUAAGGCACAGGAAAACCAAACCUAAACUAAUAACUGGACAACUGCUAUGUACCAGGCACAUACAUCUAUAAUUGCUAAUCCUUACAACCACCUUCCAAGACAGGUUCUAUUAUUUUCAUUCUACAAAGGAAACAAGGGGCUCAGGAGGGUUAAGCAACUUUAAUAAAGCAGUAGCUGGUGAACUAAGGCUGAGAUUCAAGCUCAGGUUCUGGAUCCAAACCCCACGUUCUUUCCAUUAUACCCACUUGGCCAAAGCUAGGGCCAUGACUUGGGCCAGGAGAAGACAGCGUUACCUAAGGCAAAACCAUUGGGUUCAGCUGCGUCGCUGGCUAUUAAAGGUCCGAAGCCCCACAGUCAGGUGUGAGCUGGGUCCCAUGGCCUGCUCAGCUCCAGGCCUCCCCGUGUGGGGAGACAGUCCCCUUGUCUAAUACACAUCAGGCUGCCAGCCUCAGUUUGUAUUUUUACAGUCCACUAAUUAGGCCAUUUUAACUAAUUUGUUUGCAUUUUGUAUGAGCAAGUUGGGCUUUUGGAUUGACUAAUGUAAUUGCAGCUGGUUUCUGCCAAAUACAAAUUACUCAGUCUAGUGUGGGCUAGGGAGAAAAGCAAAUAUUUAAUAGACAUCAAUACCCUUGUAGCUUUUUAGUGGAGCCUUUUUUUCCCCUAUGGAAAGUUGAAGUAAUUUCUCCAGCAUCUGAUUGAACUUUCAUGUUGGGGAAUUACUUUUUAAUCAUUUUUUUAAAAAAUAAUGAGACAAAGGCUUUAGUGACUCUGUUGGGUUUUAUCUCUGAUCCAUUUGCCCCUAAGCUUGGGAAACUCACGGGACUUUUAC
rnacentral:lncRNA from 10 species